rnacentral:rRNA from 1 species
UACGGAGGAUGCAAGCGUUAUCCGGAAUGAUUGGGCGUAAAGCGUCUGUAGGUGGCUUUUUAAGUCUGCCGUCAAAUCCCAGGGCUUAACCCUGGACAGGCGGUGGAAACUACCAAGCUGGAGUACGGUAGGGGCAGGGGGAAUUUCCGGUGGAGCGGUGAAAUGCGUAGAGAUCCGGAAGAACACCGGUGGCGAAGGCGGUUAGCUGGGCAGUUGCUGACACUGAGGCGCGACAGCGUGGGGAGCAAACAGG